CCUACGGGAGGCAGCAGUGGGGAAUUUUGGACAAUGGGGGCAACCCUGAUCCAGCAAUGCCGCGUGUGUGACGAAGGCCUUCGGGUUGUAAAGCACUUUUGGCGGGAACGAAACGGCGCUUUCUAAUACAGAGUGCUAAUGACGGUACCCGCAGAAUAAGCACCGGCUAACUACGUGCCAGCAGCCGCGGUAAUACGUAGGGUGCGAGCGUUAAUCGGAAUUACUGGGCGUAAAGCGUGCGCAGGCGGUUUCGUAAGACAGAUGUGAAAGCCCCGGGCUCAACCUGGGAAGUGCAUUUGUGACUGCGAGACUAGAGUGUGUCAGAGGGAGGUAGAAUUCCACGUGUAGCAGUGAAAUGCGUAGAGAUGUGGAGGAAUACCGAUGGCGAAGGCAGCCUCCUGGGAUAACACUGACGCUCAUGCACGAAAGCGUGGGGAGCAAACAGGAUUAGAUACCCUGGUAGUCCACGCCCUAAACGAUGUCUACUAGUUGUCGGGGAUUCGUUUCCUUGGUAACGCAGCUAACGCGUGAAGUAGACCGCCUGGGGAGUACGGCCGCAAGGUUAAACUCAAAUGAAUUGACGG
rnacentral:rRNA from 1 species